rnacentral:rRNA from 1 species
UACAGAGGGGGCAAGCGUUAUUCGGAAUUAUUGGGCGUAAAGGGCGCGUAGGCGGCUUGGCAAGUGGAUGGUGAAAUCCCUCGGCUUAACCGAGGAACUGCCAUCCAGACUGCUUUGCUUGAGGCCGGGAGAGGUGAGUGGAAUUCCCAGUGUAGCGGUGAAAUGCGUAGAUAUUGGGAGGAACACCAGUGGCGAAGGCGGACUCACUGGACCGGUUCUGGACGCUGAGGCGCGAAAGCUAGGGGAGCAAACAGG